rnacentral:rRNA from 1 species
UGAAGCGAAAGUAAAAUUUCGUGGAGGUCCGAACCCACGAGCGUUGAAAAGCUCGGGGAUGACUUGUGGGUAGCGGUGAAAUUCCAAUCGAGCCCGGAGAUAGCUGGUUCUCCCCGAAAUAGCUUUAGGGCUAGCCUCAAGGUGAGAGAUACGGAGGUAGAGCACUGAAUGUCCUAGGGGGUAUUGCACCUACCGAAGACUAUCAAACUCCGAAUGCCGUCAUCUUAUACUUGGGAGUCAGACUGUGGGUGAUAAGAUUCAUAGUCGAAAGGGCAACAGCCCAGAUCGUCAGCUAAGGUCCCUAAAUGUAAGUUAAGUGGUAAAGGAUGUGGGAUUGCACAGACAACCAGGAUGUUGGCUUAGAAGCAGCCACUCAUUCAAAGAGUGCGUAAUAGCUCACUGGUCGAGUGAUCCUGCGCCGAAGAUUUCCGGGGCUAAAACUUACUACCGAAGCUACGGCAUCAGUAAUGAUGGGUAGGGGAGCUUCCCAUACGGGUUGAAGCAUGACCGUAAGGACAUGUGGACAGUAUGGGAGUGAGAAUGUUGGCAUGAGUAGCGAGAUGUGGGUGAGAAUCCCACAGGCCGUAAACCCAAGGUGUCCAGGGGAAGGUUCGUCCGCCCUGGGUUAGUCGGGACCUAAGCUGAGGCCGAAAGGCGUAGGUGAUGGACAACAGGUUGAUAUUCCUGUACUACCGAUAACCGUUUGAGAGAAGGGAUGACACAGUAGGAUAAGCUAAGCACACUGUUGGUUAUGUGUGCCCAAGCAUUGAGGCAGUCAAAGUAGGCAAAUCCGCUUUGAUAAUGCUGGGAUGUGAUGGGGAGCGAAAUUUAGUAGCGAAGUAGCUGAUUUCACACUGUCAAGAAAAGUCUCUAUCGAGGUUAAAGGUACCCGUACCGCAAACCGACACAGGUGGGUGAGGAGAGUAUCCUAAGUCCAGCGAGAGAACUGUUGUUAAGGAACUCGGCAAAAUGACCCCGUAACUUAGGGAUAAGGGGUGCCACCAUCAGGUGGCCGCAGAGAAUAGGCCCAAGCGACUGUUUACCAAAAACAUAGGUUUCUGCUAAGUCGCAAGACGAUGUAUAGGAGCUGACGCCUGCCCGGUGCUGGAAGGUUAAGGGGAUCUGUUAGAG